rnacentral:lncRNA from 1 species
GAGAAAUCAUUUUUGAUGAUUCUGAGAUAUUAGUGAGAGAAAUACAUAGGAUCGAUAUUAUCACCUUGUAUUUAGUGUAACUUUACAUAAGGAUUUGGUUAAAGGAAAGAAGAAUGGCUGGAGUCAAAGGAGAAAAUUUGAGAGGGUUAAUGCACAAUUUAAUAAUUUCUUCAAAACAAAGGGUUGCCUGGAAGAGAGGACAAUUUCUCUGUUCCUUCAGAAAGCAGAACUGUAGGAAAAGGGUUGGAGUGACUAAGUUAGUCAAAGAAAGACUGUUGAUUCUCAAAAGUUGUCAGCCCCUGGAAUGAGAUCUAACAAGGCAGGUUUGGGACUUUCUUGAUUCAGAGAUCUUUAGAAACAAGUUGGGAUUUUACCCGUCUGGAAAUGUUUUAGAUACGGGUCUGGAAGGUCCAACCUGGGAUUUGGUCAAUCUCAACUCUUUGCUGCUUCAGGUUAUUCUGCAAGGGAAUAACAAUGCUUAGCCAGCCCAGAAAGAAAACAUGAUAUAUUACCAGCUGUGAUUAGGGCUUAAUAACGCCUUGCUACUCUGGAGUCCAUGGAAAACUUUGGUAGGAACGGGAGUUUAAGGGGCAUGGAAUCCUUUGGCAGAUAGGAAGGACCUUUGUUGGUGGACUUUGGAGCAACGGUAAUCCUAAAGCAGAUUCUCGUUUCCCUCCACGGCCUCGCUCUGCCCCCUGUUGGCUGCAUCGCUCAUUGUACUCCCGUGUUCAAAAUUAUUUCCAGUGAGAACAGGAGUAGGUAGAAAGGGGAUAUCAGGAUUUCAUUCCCAGAACUACUUUUUCCAUGGAAAAUGAACCCGUUUCGGUAAAUCUUGGGCCCAUCCUCCCGCAAAGAGCAAGUGUCACACAUAUUCUGAUGUCAAAGGCUACGCCAGUCUGGGCGUUGGGCGGCAGACCAAAAUAUCAGAUGAGAGGUGUGGAAGUUAUCGGCAACUUAGGUGACAGGAGCCAAGGAGGGUCUACCCGCCAUGCGCACCCCAUUGUGGUUGCCCAGCGACUGCGGGGCGCUCAGAACGGGGGCGUUGCUCAGAAUGGUUCCAGGGACCCGGUUGGGCAGGUCAGUUUCUCUGCAGGAGGCUGCAGACGCCCGUCCUGGGACAUGGCCCCAGAAGCUCCAGGCUUCUCAGGAUCAGUUUUGUGGCUUGGCGUGAAGGCAUGAGCGGGCUAAUAAGAUUCCUGGCCUCCCGAAUCCCAGCUGGAUAUCCUGAGACAGCUGGUGGUUAGCAUCACCAGAGUUGCCGAGAAGUUAUGAGCUGGAAGAAGAACCAUUAACGAUCGUGGUCGAAUGACUGACAUGAAUAAGCAGAAGCUAUGAAAACUGGUCCAGGAGGAGGACGUAAUUUGUUAGAGAGAGAGAAGGUGGCGGGGGGAGGAAAGUUCAUAUUAAGAAGCUGUAAUAUGUGGGGUCCCUGGGUGGCUCAGUCUGUUAAGCUUCUGCCUUUGGCUCAGGACAUGAUCCCAGGGUUCUGAGCUUGAGCCCCGCAUAGGGCUCCCUGCUCAGCGGUGAGUCUGUUCCUCUCCCUCUCCCUCUCUGCCUGCUUGGUCUCUCUCUCUCUCUCUCUCUCUCAAGUAUAUAAAAUCUUAAAAAAAAUCUUAAAAAAAAAAAGCUGUAAUAUGUGACUAGAGAAAUAUUAGAGGGAAGAUCUGUGCAGCCAUGCACUUGACGUCUUUACAGUUGCUUUUGACCCAGGCUGAAUCUCUUCUCUUAGGCUGUGAAACAACAAUGACCUGCAAAUUGCUAUAAAGAUGAUUUAAGAAAAAAGGAAAAACCACAAGCACAUAAAAUUGGGAAUGGAAAGAGGUCUCUAAUAUGUUAGGGGUUAUGUUUGGGAAGUCAGUAAUUCCUUUCCCCCCUUCAGGGUCCUGCUUCAUAGAGUAAACAUCUGUUUUGCAUCAACUUCUCAGCUCUGUUAAUGUAGGCCAGAGGACUCUCACAGUAAAGAGCUCCCUGGUAAAAAUGAAUUGGGGAUUGAGGCUUAACUUUUAAGCUAGCAUGGGUUUCCUACUCUCUCCAUUCUGAGUUGACUGAAGAUAGCUCACAAGUCACAGUGGAGAAGCUGAGUAGAUGAAAUAGUGUCUGGGAGGCAUACUGGCCGUAGUGUGAAUUCUGCUUGCCAUGUAGAAAUCAGGAGCUUGCCAGAACCCAGGUCUGUUGUGUCUGGACACAAGAAAGCAAAAGAGGAACCAAGAGGGAAGCCUGAGUGUCUCAACUGGUUAGGCGUCUGCCUUUGGCCUGGGUCAUGAUCCCAGUAUCCUGGGAUCAAGUCCCACAUUGAGGUCCUUGCUCAGCAGGGAACUGGGCUCCCUCUGCGUGAUGCUUCCCCUGUUUGUGCUUUCUCUCUGUGACAAAUAAACAAAUAAAAUCUAAGGAAGAAGCAGCAGCAGCAGCAGCAGCAGCAAGAUAAAGACACACAGUGAGAGAUAUACCCUUAUUACUUUUUAAAUUUUAUAACUACUGGUAAAUUUGGCCCAAUAAUUUCUUUUUUUUUUAAAGAUUUUAUUUAUUUAUUUGACACAGAGAGAGAGAUCACAAGCAGGCAGAGAGAGGCAGGCAGAGAGAGAGGAGGAAGCAGCCUCCCUGCUGAGCAGAGAGUCCGAUGGGGGGCUUGAUCCCAGGACCUGAGAUCAU